AAGGAAUUAGUUAAAAAUAAUGUUAGAUUGUCAGUCUAAAGUAACUAAAAUCAUAUUUAGUAUUCUUUA
rnacentral:tRNA from 1 species